rnacentral:rRNA from 1 species
UUCCGGUUGAUCCUGCCGGAGGCUACCGCUAUUGGAGUUCGAUUAAGCCAUGCGAGUCGAGAGUCCUCGGGACUCGGCGUACCGCUCAGUAACACGUGGGUAACCUGCCCUAUGCUGGGGAAUAACCUCGGGAAACUGAGAAUAAUGCCCCAUAGCCCACUACGCCUGGAACGGUGAGUGGGUCAAAGCCCCGGCGGCAUAGGAUGGGCCUGCGCCGUAUCAGGUUGUAGGGGGUGUAAAGUACCCUCUAGCCAUCAACGCGUACGGGUGUUGGGAGACAUUGCCCGGAGAUGGAUUCUGAGACACGAAUCCAGACCCUACGGGGUGCAGCAGGCGCGAAAACUUGGCAAUGCGAGCAAUCGUGACCAGGGGAACUCCAAGUGCGUAGGGUAAGACCUACGCUUUUCUUGACUCUUCAAAGGUCUUGGAAUAAGGGGUGGGUAAGGACGGUGCCAGCCGCCGCGGUAAUACCGGCGCCUCAAGUGGUAGUCGCUUUUAUUGGGCCUAAAACGUCCGUAGCCGGUCUGGUGCAUUCGUGGGUAAAUCAACCCGCUCNACGGGUUGAAUUCUGCGAGCACGGCCAGACUUGGGACCGGGAGAGGUGUGGGGUACUCUCAGGGUAGGGGUAAAAUCCUGUCAUCCUGAGANGACCACCUGUUGCGAAGGCGCCACACUAGAACGGAUCCGACGGUCAGGGACGAAACCUAG